rfam:Schistosoma mansoni, Puerto Rico, WGS project CABG01000000 data, contig: 0208
ACACUGCUGAGGAGUCCCAUAAUAGGGCGAAACAACUGUCCAGUGC